AGCGUAGGCGGAUAGUUUAGUCAGAGGUGAAAGCCCAGGGCUCAACCUUGGAAUUGCCUUUGAUACUGGCUAUCUUGAGUAUGGAAGAGGUAUGUGGAACUCCGAGUGUAGAGGUGAAAUUCGUAGAUAUUCGGAAGAACACCAGUGGCGAAGGCGACAUACUGGUCCAUUACUGACGCUGAGGCUCGAAAAGGACGUGGGGAGGCAAACA
rnacentral:rRNA from 1 species